rnacentral:rRNA from 1 species
GUGCAGCAGUCGCGAAACCUCCGCAAUGCGGGCAACCGCGACGGGGGACCCCAGUGCCGUGGCAUCGCCACGGCUUUUCCGGAGUGUAAAAAGCUCCGGGAAUAAGGGCUGGGCAAGGCCGGUGGCAGCCGCCGCGGUAAUACCGGCGGCCCGAGUGGUGGCCGCUAUUAUUGGGCCUAAAGCGUCCGUAGCCGGGCCUGUAAGUCCCUGGCAAAAUCCCACGGCUCAACCGUGGGGCGUUGCUGGGGAGUACUGCAGGCCUUGGGACCGGGAGAGGCCGGGGGUACCCCGUCGGGGUAGGGGUGGAAAUCCUAUAAUCCCA